GAUGAACGCUGGCGGCGUGCCUAAUACAUGCAAGUCGAGCGGACGGACGAGAAGCUUGCGUCUCUGAUGUUAGCGGCGGACGGGUGAGUAACACGUGGAUAACCUACUUAUAAGACUGGGAUAACUACGGGAAACCGUAGCUAAUACCAGAUAAUAUUUUGAACCGCAUGGUUCAAAAGUGAAAGACGGUCUUGCUGUCACUAAUAGAUGGAUCCGCGCUGCAUUAGCUAGUUGGUAAGGUAACGGCUUACCAAGGCAACGAUGCAUAGCCGACCUGAGAGGGUGAUCGGCCACACUGGAACUGAGACACGGUCCAGACUCCUACGGGAGGCAGCAGUAGGGAAUCUUCGGCAAUGGGCGAAAGCCUGACGCAGCAACGCCGCGUGAGUGAUGAAGGUCUUCGGAUCGUAAAACUCUGUUAUUAGGGAAGAACAUAUGUGUAAGUAACUGUGCACAUCUUGACGGUACCUAAUCAGAAAGCCACGGCUAACUACGUG
rnacentral:rRNA from 1 species